rnacentral:tRNA from 1 species
GAUGUCAUAGCUCAACAGGAAGAGCAAGGUCUCAUAAACCUACGAUGUCGGUUCGAUUCCGGCUGGCAUCA